rnacentral:rRNA from 1 species
CAAUAGCGUAUAUCAAUGUUGUUGCGGUUAAAAAGCUCGUAGUUGGAUUCAGAGAUUAUGGUUGUGGGCGGGCCAGCCUGCACGGUGCUUACCUUGUUUGUCACCUUGUAGUGUUGGGACAACCCGCUCACAUUCGACCAUAACCCUUCGUACACGGAAAAGGUUCGGCGGCCGACGCCCCCUUUAUUGUGGGGUUGAGGCACCUUCGGAGCUAAUACACUCCCUCAGCCGCGUCCGUGGAUGUUACUGUGAGUAAAACAGACUGUUCAAAGGAACCGAAUUCAGCUCGGUUUGAAUGAUUCAGCAUGGAAUAACAAGGGAUCGACCAUUGUGGCCUCUUUUUGUGGUUUUCCAGCCUCAGUGAGGCAAUUCAGAACAGGUGCCCCACCGUGUUUCCAGGCAUUCACUUUGUGGUUGUCUCUGCGCGUGUGAGCCCUGCUUCUUAUCGGGAUCAAUAGGUGCAGAAGGGGCAGUCAGUAUUUCC